GUUUAUGGCCAUAGGAUGCUGAAUGCGCCCAAUCUUGUCUGAUCUCGGAAGCUACGCAGGGUCAGCCUGGUUAGCACUUGGAUAGGAGAAAUACCCAGAGUGUAGCUGGGAGGCGGCGGGGAGCCAGGGGAG
rnacentral:rRNA from 1 species